rnacentral:sRNA from 1 species
AGUAAGACAUAAGGACUUCCAUAUUUUAUUGUAUCUGGAUAUUCCACGGUGAAACGUGCCAGAACAUGGUGGGUACUGAUUAUGCCUUGAAAUACAGUCUUUUAUGAUCUUGCGUUUAUCGUCUUGUGAAAGUACCGAAAGGGAAAUAAGUAGCAAGGCGAUUUU